rnacentral:rRNA from 1 species
UCCGUAGGUGAACCUGCGGAAGGAUCAUUAAAUAAUUGAAAAACAUGUUUUUUUUGGCUGAGAAAUUGGUCAUUUUUAUCAUGCUCUUAUCUUUUUGGUAAGAGAAAAAAAAAUAAUUUACUGUGAACUUUUUAAAGGGGUUUGGCCUAAAAAAAUGUCUGGUUGGGCGAGCGAGAUUGUAAUGAUCUUUUGUUCCCCCGGCUAGGCGAAAUAUUAUACCUAGUUAAUUUUAGUAAUAAAAAAUUGAAACAAUCAGUCGUAAAAAAACUGAUUAAAACAACUUUUAACAACGGAUCUCUAGGCUCUCGCAUCGAUGAAGAACGUAGCAAAUUGCGAUAACUAUUGUGAAUUGCAUCUCGUGAAUCAUCAAGUUUUUGAACGCAUCUUGCACUCUUUGGUAUUCCAAAGAGUACACUUGUUUCAGUAUCAUAUUAACCCCCAACGCCGUAUGAUUUGUAAUGAAUCAUUCUGGGCGGAAAUGUAUUAUAUCCUUGGCCGGUUGAAAGUGUUUAGUCACUUGAAACGGCUUAAAUCUAUCUAGGCGAAUGACUCUAAUGUUAUUCAUGCCAUGUAAAAUAAAUAUUAAUUAUGUGUUUAAUUAUUUUACGCUGACAUGAGUAGCUGCUAAGGAGGAAUUCUGGCCGACAAACACAUUAUUUUGAUCUGAAAUCAAGUGGGAUUACCCGCUGAACUUAAGCAUAUCAAUAAGCGGAGGA